AUCAGAACCAAACCAAAACAGUAAAUUAAGGUCAGUUCGGUUCCUAUAGUAACGGUUCUUUUUCGGCUUCUGUUCGGUUCGGUACGGUUCUUCAGUUCGGUUUGGGACCCCCAGAAACCAUGCACAGCCUAUUGAUAACACUGCUUUGGUAUAGGAAUCAGUCAGCGACCAUCCCUCUUUUUAGAAAUCAGCCAGGGUUUCCUCAUGAUACUGCGAACAGCUCUUGAGAACUCGUGCAUACUUUGGCAGCCUGUGCCCAUUUGCACUCCUAGUGUCAGCAAUUAUGCAAAUUUUAUUGAAGUUGUGCUUGAUGAUCUUUAAUAUCGUAAUGUUCAUCUAUAAUUGAAUUUAUGUCAGUUUUUUCAUUAAUUGUUCUCCCAAUAAAAUUAAUCAAGCAAUUUGCCAAAAAAAAAA
rnacentral:misc_RNA from 1 species